rnacentral:rRNA from 1 species
GAUGAACGCUGGCGGCGUGCCUAAUACAUGCAAGUCGAGCGAACGGACGAGAAGCUUGCUUCUCUGAUGUUAGCGGCGGACGGGUGAGUAACACGUGGAUAACCUACCUAUAAGACUGGGAUAACUUCGGGAAACCGUAGCUAAUACCGGAUAAUAUUUUGAACCGCAUGGUUCAAAAGUGAAAGACGGUCUUGCUGUCACUUAUAGAUGGAUCCGCGCUGCAUUAGCUAGUUGGUAAGGUAACGGCUUACCAAGGCAACGAUGCAUAGCCGACCUGAGAGGGUGAUCGGCCACACUGGAACGGAGACACGGUCCAGACUCCUACGGGAGGCAGCAGUAGGGAAUCGUCCGCAGUGGGCGAAAGCCUGACGGAGCAACGCCGCGUGAGUGAUGAAGGUCUUCGGAUCGUAAAACUCUGUUAUUAGGGAAGAACAUAUGUGUAAGUAACUGUGCACAUCUUGACGGUACCUAAUCAGAAAGCCACGGCUAACUACGUG